UGGUAGGAGAGCGUUCUAAGGGCGUUGAAGCAUGAUCGUAAGGACAUGUGGAGCGCUUAGAAGUGAGAAUGCCGGUGUGAGUAGCGAAAGACGGGUGAGAAUCCCGUCCACCGAUUGACUAAGGUUUCCAGAGGAAGGCUCGUCCGCUCUGGGUUAGUCGGGUCCUAAGCUGAGGCCGACAGGCGUAGGCGAUGGAUAACAGGUUGAUAUUCCUGUACCACCUAUAAUCGUUUUAAUCGAUGGGGGGACGCAGUAGGAUAGGCGAAGCGUGCGAUUGGAUUGCACGUCUAAGCAGUAAGGCUGAGUAUUAGGCAAAUCCGGUACUCGUUAAGGCUGAGCUGUGAUGGGGAGAAGACAUUG
rnacentral:rRNA from 1 species